rnacentral:lncRNA from 1 species
UAAGGAUUCUUACUAAGAAGCAAAGAAAUUAUUCACAAGUAAAAAAAGAGCUUUGAGGUGCAUUUAUUACAUUGAAGUCCAAGAUAAAUUAUGUAAUAGAUGCUUAUGUAGUAUUGGAGAUUCAUUGCUUGUUUUUGCUUGAAAUGGUUUCCAAUUGUACUACACUAGAUAUUACUAUGCUUAGAUGGAUUACUUUCAUUAAGUCUCUAAAUUAUAUUUUGAUAUAUGUCAUGGACAAAAAACUUGGUGGCAGAUAUGUUGUU